AUAAAACUCAAUGCGAAAGAUUAGCUAAUACCGCAUAUUCUCUGAGGAGGAAAGCAGGGGACCUUCGGGCCUUGCGUUAUUCGAGCGGCCGAUAUCUGAUUAGCUAGUUGGUGGGGUAAAGGCCUACCAAGGCGACGAUCAGUAGCGGGUCUGAGAGGAUGAUCCGCCACACUGGGACUGAGACACGGCCCAGACUCCUACGGGAGGCAGCAGUGGGGAAUUUUGGACAAUGGGCGCAAGCCUGAUCCAGCCAUGCCGCGUGUCUGAAGAAGGCCUUCGGGUUGUAAAGGACUUUUGUCAGGGAAGAAAAGGAAAGGGUUAAUACCCCUGUCUGAUGACGGUACCUGAAGAAUAAGCACCGGCUAACUACGUGCCAGCAGCCGCGGUAAUACGUAGGGUGCGAGCGUUAAUCGGAAUUACUGGGCGUAAAGCGAGCGCAGACGGUUACUUAAGCAGGAUGUGAAAUCCCCGGGCUCAACCUGGGAACUGCGUUCUGAACUGGGUGACUAGAGUGUGUCAGAGGGAGGUAGAAUUCCACGUGUAGCACUGAAAUGCGUAGAGAUGUGGAGGAAUACCGAUGGCGAAAGCAGCCUCCUGGGAUAACACUGACAUUCAUGCUCUAAAGCGUGUGUAGCAACACGAUUAGAUACCCUGGUAGUCCACGCCCUAUACGAUGUCAAUUAGCUGUUGGGCAACAUUGUUUGCUCAUAUCGUACUAACGCGUGCAAAUUGACCGACCAGCGGGAGUACCGUCGCAAGAUUAAAACUCAUAGAAUUGUACGGGAGCCCGCCCAGCGCUGAUGAUAUGGCAUAAAUUUAUGAAACCGCGAACCUACUUGGUCUUGCAGUACGAACGUACUCAGACGGAGAUGUAUCUUCGCGGAGCCGUAUCCAAAGGCUGAUGAUAGUCGUCUCUCUUGCCUGAACAUG
rnacentral:rRNA from 1 species